rnacentral:rRNA from 1 species
ACGCUCGACACCUACGGGGGCAGCAGUGGGGAAUAUUGCACAAUGGGGGAAACCCUGAUGCAGCGACGCCGCGUGAAGGAUGAAGUAUUUCGGUAUGUAAACUUCUAUCAGCAGGGAAGAAAGUGACGGUACCUGACUAAGAAGCCCCGGCUAACUACGUGCCAGCAGCCGCGGUAAUCUGAGCGGGCUGGCAAGGC